rnacentral:rRNA from 1 species
CAGCCGCCGCGGUAAUACGAAGGGGGCUAGCGUUGUUCGGAAUUACUGGGCGUAAAGCGCACGUAGGCGGAUAUUUAAGUCAGGGGUGAAAUCCCGCAGCUCAACUGCGGAACUGCCUUUGAUACUGGGUAUCUUGAGUAUGGAAGAGGUUAGUGGAAUUGCGAGUGUAGAGGUGAAAUUCGUAGAUAUUCGCAGGAACACCAGUGGCGAAGGCGGCUAACUGGUCCAUAACUGACGCUGAGGUGCGAAAGCGUGGGGAGCAAACCGGAUUAGAUACCCCCGUAGUCCCUGUCUCUUAUAC